rnacentral:rRNA from 1 species
UACGAAGGGGGCUAGCGUUGCUCGGAAUCACUGGGCGUAAAGCGCACGUAGGCGGAUUGUUAAGUCAGGGGUGAAAUCCUGGAGCUCAACUCCAGAAUUGCCUUUGAUACUGGCGAUCUCGAGUCCGGGAGAGGUGAGUGGAACUGGCGAGUGUAGAGGUGAAAUUCGUAGAUAUUCGCAAAGAACACCAGUGGCGAAGGCGGCUCACUGGCCCGGUACUGACGCUGAGGUGCGGAAAGCG